GUUUUCCUUGGUGUAAUCAAUAGCCAAAUCUGCUCCUAAGCUUUUCAGCAACUCCAAUUUUGAUGUGCUAGAGGUGGCUGCUACUGUAGAUGCACCAAAAACAUGCUUUGCUAGCUGUCUCAAAACGAAAAGAAAACAUCAAGGAAGAAACCCAACUUGGAAAAUCAAAGGGCGGACAGAAGAUGAUAAAAUUUUUAUCUAUAUAGAAUUAGAAAGGCUACCUGAAUUAUUUGGGUACCAACUCCACCAGCACCUCCUAAAACAAGGAUAGAUUUGCCCGCAGAGAACCCAGUUCUUUCAAGACCUUCAUGAGCGGUUUCAAUGACAAGGGGCAGGCUGGCUGCUUCAGCAAAACUCAGAUUUUUGGGCUUAAGAGCCACUAGAUUCUCUUCAACAGCAGUGUACUCG
rnacentral:lncRNA from 1 species